GAUGAACGCUGGCGGCGUGCCUAAUACAUGCAAGUCGAGCGAACAGACGAGGAGCUUGCUCCUCUGACGUUAGCGGCGGACGGGUGAGAAACACGUGUAUAACCUACCUAUAAGACUGGGAUAACUACGGGAAACCGGAUCAAAUACCGGAUAAUAUAUUGAACCGCAUGGUUCAAUAGUGAAAGACGGUUUUUGUGUCUCUUAUAGAUGGAUCCGCGCCGCUUUAGCUGGUUGUUAAGGUAACGGCUUACCAAGGCAACGAGGCGUAGCCGACCUGAGAGGGUGGUCGGCCGCACUGGAGGUGGGACACGGUCCAGACUCCUAAGGGAGGCCGCAGUAGGGUAUGUUCCGCAGUGGGCGGAAGCCUGGCGGAGCAGCGCCGCGCGAGUGGUGAAGGUCUUCGGAUCGUAAAGCUCUGUUAUUAGGGAAGAACAAAUGUGUAAGUAACUAUGCACGUCUUGACGGUACCUAGUCAGAAAGCAACGGCUAACUACGUG
rnacentral:rRNA from 1 species